AAUAUUAUACGUUUUCAAAAUAACUACAUAAAAUUACUUCUAGGAAUUUAAAAAUGAUUUGUAAUUUUAUUCAUAAGUCAUCCCAAAAUGAGGUCAAAGGAGGAAAAAGAUACAUCUUAAUAAAUGCAGAAAAGUCCAAGUUUAGACCUUGGGGAUAUGACAGUUAACAAAAUAUACCUCUCCUUCAAGGAGCUUACAUUCCAAUGGGAGGAGACAAAAUCAACCAAUAAACAAAUAAUACGUCAGGUGGUAAUAAGUGCUAUGAAGAAGAUUAGAGAAAAGUGAAUGCAAAGUAAUUAGGGGAGUGCUUAUUUGAGAUGGAAUGGUCAGGAAAGACCUUUUGUAAGGAUGGCAUUUGAACAGAGACCUGAGGAGAGCAGAUAAGGAGAUGAAGAUGGGGUGAGGGUGAGCAUUGCAGAUUGAAGGGAAGCUAAGUGCGACAGUCCUGAGGCGGCAGUCUGCUCCCUUAUUCAAUAAGGGAAUCACAUAACAAUUAAAAAUGGCUAUAAAUAAAAACAAGCAACGCUCAAAACAAUGACAAACUGGGGGAAUGUCUGUGUAAUAUGAAAAAUAUUUUCGGAAAUAUUUUAGUAUGGUUUUCCUUUUUUGACCCUCCAUCUGACUUGGAUAAGGGUCAGGGGUAAUUAGGACUGUUAACAGCAGGAAUGCAAGAGAAAGAAAGCAUUUAAUGGUCAGCUUCUGACUGUCAAGGGCCUUUGCCCAGAGAGAAAAGGAGUUUCUAAAUUCCCUAAGCUCUCACGUGACUGCUGACUUGAUCAUAGAGUUCCGCUACACAUAUAAAGCAGAGAGAACUCAGUAAGCAAACCCUGUCACACAGAAAGGAAUGACAGUCCAUCUGUUCUUUUUCUAGUGGAGUUUGAAGAAAAAGAAGAGAGAGGAUAAAGUCAGGUCCCAGUGAUCUCACUUUCCUCCCCUUAGCAUGGAGGUCAAUAAAAAACAUCUAGAAAAUGUGUUAGGGAAAAUGAGGAUCUUGGAGUUAGUGGACUGCUCGCCUGGGUCUAGAGAAGCCCUAUCUAUAGUGGCUCAAUGUGAUGUUUAACACUGGGUGAGAGAUAUAAUGCAGCAUUGGCAAAGGGAGGCGGCGCAGAGAUGGCAUCCCAUGCGUGCGUGUGCCAUGGGGGGGAUCCAGAUGUUCCCCGAUGCCUUCACGAGGAUGGCCCAAGGGCACUGAGUGGAUUGGUAGACCAGCAAGUGUCUGCUUUGAAACGAAGAGGCUGCAGGGGUGGGGACGUCCACCUUCCUUCAUUUCAGGUGGGAGGGUGUGCAGAGGUUAUUUUAAGGUCUUCAUAUUCAGUCCAGUCCCCUCCAGAACAUAGGCAACAGUUUAUUAGUCUCUUUAAGACUCAUGUUUUCAUUUUUCCUGUGGUUUUAUAGAUGUUUUAGUGAGAUAUUGUGUGAGCCUGCCUCAGGGAGUAGUAGCCUCAUUGUUGGCACACCAAAAAAGGGUCUGGGAUGGUUUUAGCCACCCCUAAGCCACCACCAAUAAUCCCCAUCACCCUUUAUCCUUUGAGAUGAACAGCUGACUUUCUCAAACUUAAUGUAAAAUGCUAUGCAAACCCAACUUCAGGCUUCCUUCCAACCCUAUUGCUGCCUCCAAGCCUUCCAUACAUAGAAAUUUUGUAAUCACCAGUGGCUAACCAGAUGCCAUUUUGAACUCUAAACUCUUAAAAUAGGCACUUGAACUUUGAAGUUUUGAUGUUUUCUUUCCUGAGAAUAAGGGCAAUGAAUUCAAUCAGUCAUUUAUUUCUGAUAGGACUUUCUUAUGAUUUUGCUAUGGUGCAAUAAGUAUCUCAAAGAGAAAUGUUGGGACAUAAGACUGAUCAAAUGACCAGGGAAUUUAGCUAGAAGUGUGGGCUAAUUUAAUAAAUGCUUUAACAGCAACUUGGUCAUCUUCUAUUUCUUCUCCUUUUCCUGUCUUCUAUUUCAUCUCAACAGGCAAAUCUGGAUGUUAUAAGCUAAAAAGACUCUCUCUAGCUCUCGCUUCAGCUUUUAACACGCUUUCUCCCACAUCUCAUUAGUGUCCUUUUUGUUUUGCUCAUUGCGCACCUCUCUGACCACGUUCCCUAGUUCCCUCUGAAAUGUUCUUUCUUUCUGCUUAUGGGACUUCAUUUUGUGCCUAUGGCCCAUCUUCAGGCAACUUCCACAGGCCCCAAUACCUGGGAGAAACAGCCCUUCAACACCAGUAUGACUAUGAACUUGUUUCUUGUUAAAAUGCAGAUUCCCGGGCUCCAGACAAACCAGAAACUGUCGGCAAGUCUUGAGAUUCUUCAUUUCACAAGCUUUCCAAGUAAUUAUGAUGCACACUAAAACUCAGGAAGUAAAAAAAUAGGUAAGGCCUUCAGUCCUCUCAAUUCCUGAUCCUUUGGUUCCUUCCUUCCUUUCUCUCUUCCUUUUUUCCUUCUUUGGAACUUACUGGAAUACACUAGGCUCAUUUUUUGCCUUUCUAGUCUUUCUUCCUCCCUUCCACUCUUGCUUCAUCCCUUCUUUCUCAUCUCCCUUUCUUUCUCCCC
rnacentral:lncRNA from 1 species